CCUUCGGGUGGCAGCAGUGGGGAAUAUUGGGCAAUGGGCGCAAGCCUGACCCAGCAACGCCGCGUGAAGGAAGAAGGCUUUCGGGUUGUAAACUUCUUUUGUCAGGGACGAAGCAAGUCACGGUACCUGACGAAUAAGCCACGGCUAACUACGUGCCAGCAGCCGCGGUACUACGUAGGGGGCAAGCGUUAUCCGGAUUUACUGGGUGUACAGGGCGGGUAGACGGGACGGCAAGUCAGAUGUGAAAACCACGGGCUCAACCUGUGGCCUGCAUUUGAAACUGGAGUUCUUGAGUACUGGAGAGGCAGACGGAAUUCCUAGUGUAGCGGUGAAAUGCGUAGAUAUUAGGAGGAACACCAGUGGCGAAGGCGGUUUGCUGGACAGCAACUGACGCUGAGGCGCGAAAGCGUGGGGAGCAAACAGGAUUAGAUACCCUUGUAGUC
rnacentral:rRNA from 1 species